UGAAUACUGGGAGUGGGGAAAUACGAAAGCAAAAAGGAGCAGGUAUUUCUGUUUGGAGAAGCUGUGGAGAAGGAACCCUUUGGGCAGAUCAAAGGAACCAGGUUUUGAUGACUUACAGCUCACACAAGGUCAUCCUGGGAAAACAGAUCCUGAGAAGUACUGCAGAGCUUGUGAAGUACUGCACUGGCUGGUGUCUGGAUUCUAGAGUUUAUGAUCUGCUCCAAAGCCAGAGAGGUGAUGACUAGAAGGUAGAUAUGAAUUGGGGA
rnacentral:lncRNA from 10 species